rnacentral:rRNA from 1 species
ACGCACGCUGGCGGCGUGCUUAACACCUGCCAGUCGAACGGAAAGGCCUGCUUUCCCUUGUGGAUUGCGGGUACUCGAGUGGCGAACGGGUGAGUAACACGUGAGUGAUCUGCCCCCAACUUGGGUAUAAGCCUGGGAAACUGGGUCUAAUUCCCGAUAGGACUGCAGGGUGGUGCCUGUGGUGGAAAACGAUUUUCUAGUGGUUGGGGAUGAGCUCGCGGCCUAUCAGCUUGUUGGUGGGGUAAUGGCCUACCAAGGCGGCGACGGGUAGCCGGCCUGAGAGGGUGGACGGCCACAUUGGGACUGAGAUACGGCCCAGACUCCUACGGGAGGCAGCAGUGGGGAAUAUUGCACAAUGGGCGGAAGCCUGAUGCAGCGACGCCGCGUGGGGGAUGACGGCCUUCGGGUUGUAAACUCCUUUCGACCGCGAGGAAGCCACCUGGUUGGAAGGGUGGUGACGGUAGUGGUAGAAGAAGCACCGGCUAACUACGUG